rnacentral:rRNA from 1 species
AUUGAACGCUGGCGGCAUGCCUUACACAUGCAAGUCGAACGGCAGCACGGGAGCAAUCCUGGUGGCGAGUGGCGAACGGGUGAGUAAAGUAUCGGAACGUGCCCAGUCGUGGGGGAUAACGUAGCGAAAGUUACGCUAAUACCGCAUACGAUCUAUGGAUGAAAGCGGGGGAUCGCGAGACCUCGCGCGAUUGGAGCGGCCGAUAUCAGAUUAGGUAGUUGGUGGGGUAAAGGCUCUCCAAGCCGACGAUCUGUAGCUGGUCUGAGAGGACGACCAGCCACACUGGGACUGAGACACGGCCCAGACUCCUACGGGAGGCAGCAGUGGGGAAUUUUGGACAAUGGGCGAAAGCCUGAUCCAGCCAUGCCGCGUGCAGGAUGAAGGCCUUCGGGUUGUAAACUGCUUUUGUACGGAACGAAAAGGUUUGGCCUAAUAAGCUGAGCUCAUGACGGUACCGUAAGAAUAAGCACCGGCUAACUACGUGCCAGCCGCCGCAGUAA